rnacentral:rRNA from 1 species
CUACGGGGUGCUCCAGUGAGGAAUAUUGCACAAUGGGGGGAACCCUGAUGCAGCAACGCCGCGUGGAGGAUGACGCAUUUCGGUGUGUAAACUCCUUUUAUAUGUCAAGAAAAUGACGGUAGCAUAUGAAUAAGCACCGGCUAACUCCGUGCCAGCAGCCGCGGUAAUACGGAGGGUGCAAGCGUUACUCGGAAUCACUGGGCGUAAAGGACGCGUAGGCGGGUUGGAAAGUCAGGUGUGAAAUCCUACAGCUUAACUGUAGAACUGCACUUGAAACUUCUAAUCUAGAGUAUGGGUGGGGGAGAUGGAAUUAGUGGUGUAGGGAUAAAAUCCGUAGAUAUCACUAGGAAUACCUAAAGCGAAGGCGAUCUCCUGGAACAUUACUGACGCUAAGGCGUGAAAGCGUAGGGAGCAAACAGGAUUAGAUACCCGAGUAGUC